AAGGCAGCAGGCGCGUAAAUUAACCCAAUCCUGAUUCAGGGAGGUAGUAGACAAGAAAUAACAACUCGGGGGCCUCACGGCUUACGAGAUUGCAAAUGAGAAACAAUUUAAAUCUCUUAGCGAGGAACAAUUGGAGGGCAAGUCUGGUGCCAGCAGCCGCGGUAAUUCCAGCUCCAAUAGCGUAUAUUAAAGUUGUUGCAGUUAAAAAGCUCGUAGUUGAAUUUCUGAUUAUGGAUGUAGCGGUUUCCGUUACAUUUGUAGUCAUCCACAUGAGAACCUUUCUCGGCCUUCACUGGUCGGUUGGGGGAUCAUGUACUUUACUUUGAAAAAAUCAGAGUGUUUCAGGCAGGCGUUUUGCAUGAAUACACAAGCAUGGAAUAAUGGAAUAGGACUAGGGUCCAUUUUAUUGGUUAUUGGACCAUAGUAAUGAUUAAUAGGGACAGUUGGGGGGCG
rnacentral:rRNA from 1 species